AAGACUAUAAAAGGGCUGCUAACCCUUAAAUAAUGACAAUCAUUUAGUCUUU
rnacentral:tRNA from 1 species